UCACCUCUUUUCUCACAGUGUCUGAAACGGUUUGAUCAAGGAUUCGGUCUCUCUAAACCCCUCCUUUCUGACAGCCUACUUGAUUGGUCAGAUGGCCCAGUCUGUUGUGAUUGGUCUACCGCUUACAGCGUGUGCCAAAAACCAAAUGCCUAUUACCAUAUCUGAAUUUCAGCUUGAUACAGAGUGAUACAAACAGUAACAAUGGAAUUGAUUCUUUCUUUUGUUAGACAGUAACUCCAUUUAUUGUGCACUUUUAGCUUUUACAUUCACAAACAGCCAUAUUACACACUGCAUGAAAGGGAAUAUGCGAAAAAGCAUAAUAGGGGCAUUUUAAUUAUAUUGUCAAUGUUUGUCUUUAUAAUCGGCAGUACUGUAGAUGUGUCCAGGAAGAUAUUGAGCACAUGACUGGAAGUGAAAUGUGAAAGACAUAAGAUGCGAUUUACGCAAAACUGACUUCAUGUUGUGUAUUGUCAAGUGUUUAGCCACACAGGGUUCAAAAUUAACACUCUCUGAGACCAAAUUGCCCAAGACAACGUAAUAAGUGAUUCAAAUCAAACCAUGUACUGAAGAAAACAUAUGUCUGACAACUUUUACCUCAGUAGAGAAUUUUCCAUCAUAGGUUUAUCUAGGAUGCAUCGAGUUUUUUCCCCCAUAACUUCAUGUGGAGACAAGUAUGUGGAAUAUUUCUCAUAUUAAAGGGAUAGUUCACCCAAAAAUGAAAAUUCUGUUAAAACAGUUAUUAUGAGUUUCUGUCUUCUGUUGAACACAAAAGAAGAUAUUUUGAAGAAUGUUAAUAACCAGACAUUUGACAGUAUUGACUUGCAUACUAUUUCUUUUUUCCUACUAUGGAAGUAUAUGGCUGUUUGAUUACCAACAUUCUUCAAAAUAUCUUCUUUUGUGUUCAACAGAAGAAGAAACUCAUACUGGUUUGGAACAACUUGAGGGCCAUCUGGUUAGGUAGGUAGCAUGGUCAAUUUUCUCUCCUCUUAUCUUCCGUCUGCCUCAUACCAGUGGUGUUUACACAUGAAUGUAAAACUAAUACUGAUUUAAUAAAGAACUUUCAUAUCCCUGGA